rnacentral:rRNA from 1 species
AAGCGGAGGAAAAGAAACCAACAGGGAUUGUCUUAGUAACGGCGAGUGAAGCGACAAAAGCUCAAAUUUGAAAUCUGGCACCUUCGGUGUCCGAGUUGUAAUUUGAAGAAGGUAACUUUGGAGUUGGCUCUUGUCUAUGUUCCUUGGAACAGGACGUCACAGAGGGUGAGAAUCCCGUGCGAUGAGAUGUCCAACUCUAUGUAAAGUGCUUUCGAAGAGUCGAGUUGUUUGGGAAUGCAGCUCUAAGUGGGUGGUAAAUUCCAUCUAAAGCUAAAUAUUGGCGAGAGACCGAUAGCGAACAAGUACAGUGAUGGAAAGAUGAAAAGAACUUUGAAAAGAGAGUGAAAAAGUACGUGAAAUUGUUGAAAGGGAAGGGUUUGAGAUCAGACUUGGUAUUUUGUAUGUCUUGCUUUCGGGUGGGGCCUCUGCAGUUUACUGGGCCAGCAUCGGUUUGGACGGUAGGAUAAUGACAUUGGAAUGUGGCACUACUUCGGUGGUGUGUUAUAGACUUUGUUGAUACUACCUGUCUAGACCGAGGACUGCGUCUUUGACUAGGAUGCUGGCAUAAUGAUCCUAAACCGCCCGUCUUGAANCACGGACC